rnacentral:rRNA from 1 species
AUUGAACGCUGGCGGCAGGCUUAACACAUGCAAGUCGAACGAGCGGCGGACGGGUGAGUAAUGUCUGGGAAACUGCCUGAUGGAGGGGGAUAACUACUGGAAACGGUAGCUAAUACCGCAUACCAUCAGAUGUGCCCAAAUGGGAUUAGCUAGUAGGUGGGGUAAUGGCUCACCUAGGCGACGAUCCCUAGCUGGUCUGAGAGGAUGACCAGCCACACUGGGACUGAGACACGGUCCAGACUCCUACGGGAGGCAGCAGUGGGGAAUAUUGCACAAUGGGCGCAAGCCUGACGCAGCCAUGCCGCGUGAGUGAAGAAGGCCUUCGGGUUGUAAAGUACUUUCAGCGGGGAGGCGUUACCCGCAGAAGAAGCACCGGCUAACUCCGUGCCAGCAGCCGCGGUAAUUC